AGUCACUGACAUUAGAUACCCCCUGUAGUCCUAGCCGUAAACGAUACUCGCUAGGUGUCGGCCACGGUGCGACCGUUGUCGGUGCCGUAGGGAAGCCGUGAAGCGAGGCCACCUGGGAAGUACGGGCCGCAAAGGCUGAAACUUAAAGGGAAUUGGCGGGGAGCACAACAACGGUGGAGCUUGCGGUUUAAUUGGAUUCAACGCCGGAAAUCUUACCGGGACCGACAGCAACAUGAAGGCCAGGCUGAAGACUUUGCCGGAUUAGCUG
rnacentral:rRNA from 1 species